rnacentral:misc_RNA from 1 species
AUCAUAUAACUUCAAUAUAAGGCCGAAUUUUAAGAAUUCAUUUAGUUGAUUCAGAAUGGUUAAGCAGUAUGAAUUAUUUCCUGCUGCCAGUGCUUGCUUAUAUAAUUAUGGUAGUGUAGUUUAAAGACAUUCUGGAUUGCUACGAUCAUGCCUACAUGAAGUUUCUUGAUAUAUUCUUCUGCUGGCCAAAGUGAAAAAAAAUGCAUCUUUGCACAUUCCAGUGGCAACCUGAAGAGCCUUUGAAAUAUAUUUCGAUGAUUUUAUGGGGUCACUUGUGUAGCCCAUAUUAUAAUUGGCAACUUGCGCUAUUCCCACGGUUCAUUUCUAUUUUAUUAUCCUGGUCUGAUUGUAACUGCCUUUCUUG